rfam:Ictidomys tridecemlineatus contig008703, whole genome shotgun sequence.
UAGCUCAGUUGGUAGAGUGCUUGCCUUGCAUGCAUAAGGCCCUGGGUUCAAUUCCCAG